UAGGGAAUCUUCGGCAAUGGGGGCAACCCUGACCGAGCAACGCCGCGUGAGUGAAGAAGGUUUUCGGAUCGUAAAGCUCUGUUGUAAGAGAAGAACGUGUGUGAGAGUGGAAAGUUCACACAGUGACGGUAACUUACCAGAAAGGGACGGCUAACUACGUGCCAGCAGCCGCGGUAAUACGUAGGUCCCGAGCGUUGUCCGGAUUUAUUGGGCGUAAAGCGAGCGCAGGCGGUUUAAUAAGUCUGAAGUUAAAGGCAGUGGCUUAACCAUUGUUCGCUUUGGAAACUGUUAAACUUGAGUGCAGAAGGGGAGAGUGGAAUUCCAUGUGUAGCGGUGAAAUGCGUAGAUAUAUGGAGGAACACCGGUGGCGAAAGCGGCUCUCUGGUUUGUAACUGACGCUGAGGCUCGAAAGCGUGGGGAGCAAACAGG
rnacentral:rRNA from 1 species